UGUAUACAAGAUCAUGCCUUCUGGAUCAAGGGAUGAAUUUGAAUAUGUUAUACGGAACUUUUACCAAUUUCACUUUCGGGACAAGUAUGUAAGGAAAUUAGAAAAUGAGCUGAAACAUUAAACUCUUUGGACACUCCGUAGAAAGGAAGAAUUAUUUUCUGUUUAAUGCUGGCAUGUGAAGACAUUAGAACAUUUUUUCUUGUAGAUUAAAUUCUUUGGACAUUCAAUGAAAAUGAAUUAUUUUGUGAAUUUUUGUUAUAAUAGUGCUUUUUUUAUUUCACUUAGAAUUUUAUUUCAUUGCCGGUUAAUUGUUAGUAACUAAGAAAGUGAAAUAAAUUUUUUUUUUGGAGAAAUAAAGAGUAUUUUUUACAACCUUA